AGUGAACGCUGGCGGUAGGCCUAACACAUGCAAGUCGAACGGCAGCACAGUAAGAGCUUGCUCUUACGGGUGGCGAGUGGCGGACGGGUGAGGAAUACAUCGGAAUCUACUUUUUCGUGGGGGAUAACGUAGGGAAACUUACGCUAAUACCGCAUACGACCUACGGGUGAAAGCAGGGGAUCUUCGGACCUUGCGCGAUUGAAUGAGCCGAUGUCGGAUUAGCUAGUUGGCGGGGUAAAGGCCCACCAAGGCGACGAUCCGUAGCUGGUCUGAGAGGAUGAUCAGCCACACGGGAACUGAGACACGGUCCAGACUCCUACGGGAGGCAGCAGUGGGGAAUAUUGGACAAUGGGCGCAAGCCUGAUCCAGCCAUACCGCGUGGGUGAAGAAGGCCUUCGGGUUGUAAAGCCCUUUUGUUGGGAAAGAAAAGCAGCAGGUUAAUACCCCGUUGUUCUGACGGUACCCAAAGAAUAAGCACCGGCUAACUUCGUG
rnacentral:rRNA from 1 species